rnacentral:rRNA from 1 species
UACGUAGGGGGCGAGCGUUGUCCGAAGUUACUGGGCGUAAAGCGCGCGUAGGCGGGCUAUUAAGUUGGAUGUGAAAUCUUCGGGCUCAACCCGGAAACCGCAUCCAAAACUGUUAGCCUUGAGGUAUGGAGAGGGAAGUGGAAUUCCUGGUGUAGCGGUGAAAUGCGUAGAUAUCAGGAGGAACACCCGUGGCGAAGGCGGCUUCCUGGCCAUAUCCUGACGCUGAGGUGCGAAAGCUAGGGGAGCGAACGGG